GACGAACGCUGGCGGCGUGCCUAAUACAUGCAAGUAGAACGCUGAAGGAGGAGCUUGCUUCUCUGGAUGAGUUGCGAACGGGUGAGUAACGCGUAGGUAACCUGCCUGGUAGCGGGGGAUAACUAUUGGAAACGAUAGCUAAUACCGCAUAAGAGUAGAUGUUGCAUGACAUUUGCUUAAAAGGUGCAAUUGCAUCACUACCAGAUGGACCUGCGUUGUAUUAGCUAGUUGGUGGGGUAACGGCUCACCAAGGCGACGAUACAUAGCCGACCGGAGAGGGGGAUCGGCCACACUGGGACUGAGACACGGCCCAGACUCCUACGGGAGGUAGCAGGAGGGAAUCUUCGGCAAUGGACGGAAGUCUGACCGAGCAACGCCGCGGGAGGGAAGAAGGUUUUCGGAUCGUAAAGCUCGGUUGUAAGAGAAGAACGAGUGUGAGAGUGGAAAGUUCACACUGUGACGGUAUCUUACCAGAAAGGGACGGCUAACUACGUG
rnacentral:rRNA from 1 species